GACGAACGCUGGCGGCGUGCUUAACACAUGCAAGUCGAACGGAAAGGCCCUGCUUUUGUGGGGUGCUCGAGUGGCGAACUGGUGAGUAACACGUGAGUAACCUGCCCUUGACUUUGGGAUAACUUCAGGAAACUGGGGCUAAUACCGGAUAGGAGCUCCUGCUGCAUGGUGGGGGUGGGAAAGUUUCGGCGGUUGGGGAUGGACUCGGGGCUUAUCAGCUUGUUGGUGGGGUAGUGGCGUACCAAGGCUUUGACGGGUCGCCGGCCUGAGAGGGUGACCGGCGACAUUGGGACUGAGAUACGGCGCAGACUACUACGGGCGGCAGUAGUGGGGAAUAUUGCACAAUGGGCGGAAGCCUGAGGCAGAAACGCCGCGUGUGGGAUGACGGCUUUCGGGUUGUAAACCGGUGUCGCCUGUGACGAAGCGUGAGUGACGGUAAUGGGUAAAGAAGCACCGGCUAACUACGUG
rnacentral:rRNA from 1 species